GCUGGCUUGCCCGAGUGGUCUAAGGGGGGCGACUUAAGAUCGCCUAUGCGUAGGCAUGCGUGGGUUCAAACCCCACAGCCAGCA
rfam:Physcomitrella patens subsp. patens PHYPAscaffold_309 genomic scaffold, whole genome shotgun sequence.